UAUAUAUCAUUAAAAAGUUUUUGACUUUCUAAUUUACUUAAAAUGCUAAUAUUAAAAAUAUUUUUUUAUAUUUCAACUUAUUUCAAAUAUAUAUUUUUAGAGUUAAAUUCAGUUAGUGGACUAUUAGCAAUAACCAUUAUUUCUGUAAAAUUAUUAGUUUGUCCUUUCAAAUAUAUCCUUCUACCAUCACAAAUUUUUCUUAUUUGACCUUUUAAGUUAUAAACAAAAGAAGUAUUUUGAUUUUUGGCAUUUUCAAAUAUACCCAUUUACCAUCACCAAUUUUUCUUAUUUAUCCUUAAAUUAUAGGCAAAAAAGAUAUAUUAAUUUUUUACAGGCAAAAGAGGUAUAUUAAUUUUUUUUACUCCAGUAGACAUUUAACUCGCAUUUAAAUCGAAAUAACUUAACAGAUGGUAAUUGUCGGGUAUUUUUGAAUAGCUAAGGAACAUAUAAGGGCUAUAUUAGAAAUAAAAAAAAGUAGGGAUAAAUUGAUAUUUUUGAAAUUUUAAGGGGUAUAUAGGUAAUUAUAUCAAAUAAAAAUGUAUAAAAUUUAUAUGAAUUAUAGACUAUCUCAAUAUGAUUAUUUAAUUUUUUAAAUUUAAAUUUUAAUAUAUAAAUUUGUGGGAGAGUGUAGGGUGAAGAUUCACGCAGGGAUGAUAUGUCACCGAUUCUCGCAUCACGAAAAAAAAAUAGUAAAGUUAAUUUAGUAAUUUGAUAGCGUACCUAUCUUGUUUUAUGUAUAAAAUAAAAAUAUGUAAAAUUUAUAUAAAUUAUAGACUAUUUUAAUUAUUUAAAUUUUUAAAAUUUUGAUUUAGUAUGUAAUUUUGUGGGAGAGCGGUGGAGAUUCAUGCGGGGAGGAUCUGUCACGGAUUCUUCAGAUAGUUGCCUUACGAAAAAUUAGUAAAGUUAAUUUAGUAAUUUGAUAGUGUCUGUCCGAUAACUGUAUAUAGAAUGUUUUAUGUAUAAGAUAGAAAUGUGCAAAAUUUAUAUAAAUUAUAGACUACUUUAAUUUGGUUAUUUAUUUAUUUUAAAAUUUUAAUUUAAGUACAUAAUUUUGUGGGAGAGAAUGGACGAAUACGAUGGUCACACGGGGAGGAUCUGUUACAGAUUUUUAGGUAAUCACGUCACGAAAAAUUAGUAAAGUUAAUUUAAUAAUCUAAUAGCGUGCCCGGUACCUAUAGAUAGAAUUAAUGUUUCAUAUAUAAGAUAGAAAUGUGUAAAAUUCAUAUGAAUUAUUAGACGGCUUUAAUUGGAUUAUUUAAGUUUUUAAAAUUGUAAUUGUAGUACAUAAUUUUAUGGAAGAGAAUGGACAAUGAAGAUUCACACGGGAAGGCACGAAAAAUUAGUAAAAUUAAUUUAGUAAUUUAUUAACGUGCCCGGCAACUAUAUAGAGAAUGUUGUAUGUAUAAGAUAGAAAUGUGUAAAAUUUAUAUGAAUUAUUAGACAACUUUAAUUUGAUUAUUUAAUUUUUUAAAAUUUUAAUUUUACUACAUAAUUUUGUGGGAGAGAAUGGACGAUGGAGAUUCAUGCAGGGAGGAUCUAUCACAGAUUCUUCAGAUAGUCGCGUCACAAAAGAUUAAUAAAGUUAAUUUAGUAAUUUGAUAGCAUGCCCAGUAACUAUAUAUAGAAUGUUUUAUGUAUAAAAUAUAUAUAUGUGUGUCUGUGUAGAGUUACUAUUCUUGUGAAAGCAUGAAAAAGUUCGUGUUUCUGACUUUCUGGCCUUUAAAUCAAGAAUUAUAGGAUUGGAAUAAUAGUGGUCCUUCUAGGAUUUAGUGGUUUUUCUAUGAAAAUAAUAUUAAUCGAAGAGCUAAAAGUGAUGAAAAUAUGUUGAUCUAUAGGUUAAAAAAUUAUAAGUAAUAUAGGAGUGGCGCUUUCGAAAGCACCAUAGUUGGACUCUCUCUACAUAUAUAUACUUUUAUAACUGUGAUCGUCUUUAUACUCAUAAGUCGUUUUCGAUGGUAAAGUUUUCGAGUCAACGAUCCAUACCUCUAAAUAUUACCUAGAGCAUUUGAAAUUUUUAGAAAUCAAAUUUCUUAAUUUUUCGACAUUAUUUACCUCACUAUCAAUAGAUUUUUUAGUUGACAACUUUUAAUGGUCAGUAUUGGAUAGUUGCCAAUUUAACGGUGUAAAAGAAUUAAAAUUGGUUGAAUUUUUUAUAGAAAAUUUUAUUCACUACCUAGAUAAAAAUUAAUAACUCCGAUAUUAAAUUGAAUAAUUUAAUUAUCUAAUUUUAGGAGGUUUUUCGAUUUUAUAU
rnacentral:lncRNA from 1 species